AACGAACGCUGGCGGCGUGCCUAACACAUGCAAGUCGAACGAGAAAGGGGCUUCGGCUCCGAGUAAAGUGGCGCACGGGUGAGUAACACGUGGGUAACCUGCCUCUAAGAUUGGGAUAACUCGUCGAAAGAUGAGCUAAUACCGAAUAAGACCACAGUUCCCGCGGGAACAGGGGUCAAAGGUAGCCUCUGCUUGCAAGCUAUCACUUAGAGAUGGGCCUGCGCACCAUUAGCUAGUUGGUAGGGUAACGGCCUACCAAGGCAAAGAUGGUUAGCUGGUCUGAGAGGAUGAUCAGCCACACUGGAACUGAGACACGGUCCAGACUCCUACGGGAGGCAGCAGUGGGGAAUAUUGCGCAAUGGGCGAAAGCUUGACGCAGCAACGCCGCGUGAGUGAUGAAGGCCUUCGGGUCGUAAAGCUCUGCCGGGAGGAACGAAUGCUCCUGAGGUUAACAGCCUCGGGAGGUGACGGUACCUUCAAAGGAAGCACCGGCUAACUCUGUG
rnacentral:rRNA from 1 species